GGGCCGCCCUCCGCUGUCAUGUAGCAACGGCUAGUGUCUAUCGACGUGGAGAAGCCACGUCACCGAAAUGGAGGCCACGGCCGCGGCAUGAUAGCAAAUGAGCCACUCGCCCCAGGUUGCAGCUGUUGUGCCGAGUGGUUUCCUUCUGCGGAGCAUUCAAUAGCCACUAAGCAUACAAUGCAUUAGAUGUUCGAGCUGGCGAACACUUGAGGUGAGAGAGAACCAAGUCCAGAGCCAAUAGAGGCUCGUAUUGCACAAAGACAUGAGUUGUAUUCAUCCCUGGCAUUCAUUACUUGCUUUUCUUCUUCCUUGUGACAUCACUUCCCAGUUGCUUUUUCAAGGCCAGAUGGUUCCUUGUUCUUGGAGGCUACUGGUGUGUGGGGCGGGCAUCAGCUGCCACUAUAUGCAUGUGAUCAGAUGAGGAUGAGGCCCUGCAUCAGCAACAGGCACAACAAGAACAAGAAGUCAGAUAAUGUGGUGUCAGAUAUGUGACCCAGCUAAAGGGUUGGCUGAGACCACAGUUUGCAGAAUUCCAACUCAAAUAAUAAUUUGUAUCUUUCAUUUUUAAGGUGCAAAUGUGCUUCUUUUAUAAAAAGAUAGAGAGAGAGAGAGAGAGAGAGAGAGAGAGAUGUCCUCAAUAAAAAAUUUGCAUGAUAGGAGCCAAACAAAUGAACUAGGGUCUGUGCCAGAGAGGUUCAAAUAAAGCAGCUAUUAUGACAGUAUUUGGCAUCAAAGUUGAGACCACAGGAAAUGUGUGCUGAUGACAAAAAGUACGUUUGUGCACAACAACUAGGGUUUUACUUCAGACAGCAAAAGUGGUGGUUGGCUUGUUAUUAAAAUCAUAUUUCUGUAUUCCGUUUUGAAAUGUCACAGAGUUGCUCAGUAGUAGGCCAUGGAUGAUCCACUCCACCUUGAAAAUUAGUAGGUAGGUCACACAUGUCAUAUUGUAUAUAAAAUUGCAUUCUGCAUGUUACCACUAUUAUAGUAACCAUUACGACUUCCAAUUCAUGCAGCACAUAUUUGGUAGAAAACUUAAGUUGAUCAAUUUAACUAACAUAUCCAAGAAAGCCAUGAGCACACCCAUAAAAACCAAUUAGUUAAGCUGAUUAUAUAACACAAGUUAACUCACUGGAGAGUAAAAUUAUCACUCGGUCCCAAUUUUGGAAGAAAGCCGACUUUGAUGUCGAUUGCAGUGUACAUUUUGAAGUUUCCAAAAUAUAUAUAGCCAUGCACUCAACCAAAGGAAUCAAGAAGAAAUAACUGGCAAGCGACUGACCAACGACAUGCAUAGGAGGUGGGAUGAAACUAUUUAAUGCCCAACCCCUUGUCUAGUUUUUUACUCCAAUUCUUCACCACAUGUACUACUAUUUUCUACAACACUACUUGAGGUAACAAAGAUUCCAUUGCAUGCUUCAACUGGUAAUAUUAUUAUUAAAUACCACUCCAUGUGCAUAGUAAUAACAAAAAUAAUGUCACUUGUAAAAAUAAUUAGGGGGUCUCUUCUCCGAUGAAACAACUCUCUCCCUCUGCUCCCAAUAAAACGCCAGCCUCGUCCUCACCUUUCCACUACCACACCUUUCUUUUCUCCUCCCCCAAGAAACAUAAGACGACGAGAGAGCUCUCGCCUCAACAAAAUAAAGAUAAAUCAGUGAGACAGAGAGAAGGAGAGACAAGGUAGCUCAAGGCAGAGAAGAAAAGAGAAGCAAAGUUGAAGAGGAGAAGUAGAAAUGGUUUCUUCUUCUUCUUUCUUCUUCCUCUUCUUGUUGUGUUCAGUUCUGUUCCUCUCCGAUGAGGCUACAUCUCUUCCGGAGCUACCCAACCUCACCACCCUCUCUUUUGAGGAAGGCUACACGCAGCUCUUUGGAGACUCUAAUCUAUUGCUACACCGAGAUGGUAGAGCUGUCCAUCUUGCUCUCGACCAGCGAACUGGUACUUCUCUUAUCUUCAUCUCUUGCUCAGCCUCUCCCUUUUAUCUCCUCUACAAGAAGAUAAAUGGAUGCCUGUCUAACCGUAUACAGCUCUUUUAGGUGCUGGAUUUGCGUCACAAGAUCUUUAUCUGCAUGGAUUCUUCAGUGCCUCCAUCAAACUACCUUCAGAUUAUGCCGCUGGAGUCGUUGUCGCCUUCUAUGUAUGCUCCUUUUCUCCGCACUAAGUUUAACAUUCUUCUACUACUCACUGCUAUUAUUUUCUUAGGAACACUUCCAGUUAAGCAAGAACAUUUCAAGUUUGCAUUGACUAAAAUAGACUCCUAUUCUUUUUCCUAAUGUUUGUUGUGUUCAUUGAUAAAAGAGUCAUCAAGUCUCGAGGAAAAAUUUUUGCUUCCCAGUCUCUUUGCCACCUUGACUUGGACUUUGGCUGUGCAAACCAGUUGGAUUUCUUCUGUCAUUCUGGUUUCCAUUCCUGGAAUACUAAUCCUAAUAGUUAGCACAAGUUUUCUUUACUUACUUUUUGUCUUGUUUUAGUCAGCUUAGAACAGUUUAUGAAGGAUCUUGCUCUAACUUCCUUGGAAGUUUUCUUUUGUAAUUGUCUCAUAUACUCCAGAGAGUUGCAAUUUGCAGUAUAUGAAAAUGCUACUUUUGAUGACAAUGUAGAUGUCGAAUGGAGAUGUAUUCGAGAAGUCACAUGAUGAACUGGACUUUGAAUUCUUGGGGAACAUAAGGGGGAGGGAAUGGAGGGUUCAGACAAAUGUUUAUGGGAACGGGAGCACAGCAGUUGGAAGGGAAGAGAGAUACCAACUUUGGUUCGAUCCCACAGAGGACUACCACCAGUACUCCAUCCUGUGGAGCCAUGAGAGAAUCAUGUAAGGCUUACAUACCAAAUUAUUUGCCUCUUCUCAGGAUCUUGCUCAUUAAAUUGAGUGUUUGAUAAUGAAAGUCUAUAAUUUUUACAGAGAGAGUGUAUCUAUGAUAUUUUGUGCUCAUCUUUAAAUUAUUUCUAAAAUUUUCUACUUAGGGUCUUUGGUUUGUUUUCUUUAACCAUCUUCACCAGGUCUAUAUUCUUUUAGGUAGCUUAAUAAGUUACAACCAAGAGUUAUGUUAUGCUUACUUCCUGAAAAUUUCUCUGCCUUUGCUUUCUAAUGCAGAAUAGAUGAAGUACUAGGGAACAAAAGGACAACUAUACUCUUACGACUUUUGGAAUGAAAGUCACAUGCAUCCUACUUGUUAUACGACAGUGGAUGUAUAGCCCCAUUGUUAACUACAAAGACUUCCAGAUCAUAACCUGUCCUUAUCAACCCCCCUCUUCCUUUGACCAAUUUAUUUUAAUAUUGAUAACACGCUCAUAGUAUUAGAUAACACAUCAUAUUCCAAAAAUCUCAACUCUCUCUCUCUCUCUCCAUACAUGUUAGUAGUUUUAUGGAGAAAAGCUUUAGGUCCAUCUAUAUAUAAGUUAAUGAUAUAUUAUGUCAGAUGUCUUUAGAUAUUGUGAUUGUUUCUGAUUUAGGAUCUUCUAGUUAUUUCUCUACACGCUUUUAAAUAUUCCAUACUUAAUUGGUCACAAGAAGCAUGGAUGGUUGCUUCCUAAAUGUACUACAUCUUUGCUUUCCUUCGCAGACAAGAGAAAUUAGAGAACAAAAAGGCAGCCUCACUCAUUCUUAUUAACGAAAGUCUACAUACAACCUAUUUUCUAUAGAUUAGCAGCUGCACAGUUUUAUAGUCACAACAAUCUUAACAUUACAAACAAUCUGAUAUUUCAUGUUCUCUUCUAUGUGCAGAUUUUACAUUGACAACAUUCCCAUCAGGGAGGUGGUGAGGACACAAGCCAUGGGUGGGGAUUUCCCCUCAAAGCCCAUGUCCCUGUAUGCCACCAUAUGGGAUGGUUCUACCUGGGCCACCUCUGGCGGUCGCUACAAGGUCAACUACAAACUUGCCCCUUACGUCGCAGAUUUUGCUGACCUCAUCCUCCAUGGCUGUGCUGUUGAUCCUAGUGAUCACAAAACAGCCUGCCAGAGAUCCGAUGCUGUAUUGUAUGAUGCCAUCACUAUGUCAGCUGAUCAACGAACGGCAAUGGCCAAGUUCCGAAAGAAGCACAUGACCUACUCUUACUGUCAUGAUCGCAUUCGUUACCCAACACCCCCACCAGAGUGUAUGUUUGUUGGUCCUGAAUCCCAGAACUUUCUCGCAUCAGGCGACGCAAAGUUCAACUAUCGCCACCGCCGUGGUAGGCGUUAUGGCCGAAGCUCAGUAGAUGCAGUUCUUUGAAUCUAAGUGAUUGAACAUUGAAUAGGUUCAUGUACUCUCAGGGUUUUUUUCUUUUUUUCCUGUGUACCACGCAUUUUGGUGUUGUAUAGCAAAUUUAUUUGGUGUGGAGUUUGGGGAGCUUUGAGUAGAGCUAUGUUGGGUCGAUUCACAUGGGUUCAAUGACAUACACAUGUACUGAGGUUUACCACAUAGCCCGAGUCGAUACAGUAUGAGCGGUACAUAUCGAUCUGACGAGCAACUGAGAUGUGGAUUGCUCGAGUCCUCGUCGACACACCCUAGCAUAUCGUGUGUCAGUACACCAGUAUGAAGCAGUACAUACCAUAUUGCCAACAACCUUGAAAUGUACAACUAAGUCUUUCAAAGCUUGUUUCAGGGUCUAUUUUGUUCAUCAUAUUGUUCUUCCAAUCUUUCUAGUUUCCUUCACUUGGUCCAGCACAGUUUCAAUCUUCAUGCUCAGCAUUCAAGUGAAUGCUUUUCUUUAUGGUGGUAGCUCAAUAGGGCCAUGGCUUUGUAAAGGAGUUACGAUUGUGCUUGAAGAAUUGAAUGUGUUGAUCACUUAGGAAGGUCACUAUUAGCAGUCUUUAGUCGACAUGGAGGUUGGCCUCCAUGUCCCUUUGCCCUCUACAAACUCUCAAGGCUUUAAUGUCUAGAGUGUAGGCAUAUGGGCCCUCAGAUUGGAUGGAAUCUGGACUAAAAUAAGGUGACAAAGAUGAUCAAGGUGGAUUGGAUUUAUUGCCAAACCCAAUCAAUGAGAAGACACCUACUGUAGGCUGUAAUAUCAGUUGUUUUCAGAUCCUGAAAUUGACAGUGAGAUCAAAUAAAAAUCAAGUCUCUUUCAUGAUGCAAUCAUGAAUCCAGUUCAGAGCUGUAAUAUCUGUCUAUAAAGUAAGCCAACAAUGUCUGUUGUCUAGGCUGGGAGAAGUCAAAACUAGGUCAGCGAUUCUAGUUAGCAGCAGUCAACCCCAAAGACGACGUACCUGGAUAAAAUCGAACGCAAAACCUUCACGGCAAGCCACAAGAUCGACCGGCUUCUCUUCGCGCCAUCAGAAACCCUAGCGGCCUAAACCGAAUUCCCAGCUUCACUAAAGUA
rnacentral:lncRNA from 1 species